rnacentral:tRNA from 1 species
UCUCUCGUAGUGUAGUGGUUAGAGCAUUGGUGUGUAAAGCCAAAAGUCCCGGGUUCGAUUCCCGGCGGGGGUA